rnacentral:rRNA from 1 species
UAGGGAAUCUUCGGCAAUGGGGGCAACCCUGACCGAGCAACGCCGCGUGAGUGAAGAAGGUUUUCGGAUCGUAAAACUCUGUUGUUAGAGAAGAACACGAGUGAGAGUAACUGUUCAUUCGAUGACGGUAUCUAACCAGCAAGUCACGGCUAACUACGUGUCAG